CCUCUGUUUCCCUUUGUUACAAAAUUUUCACUUUCGUUUCUUACACAACUCUAUUUCUCUGGAUCGAAGCGCUUCCAAUUUCUUCCGGUUUCUGCUUUCCGCGGAUGACUUACAAAGCUUCAGGCCCUUUCCUCUAGCUCUCAUUCUAACCCGGUGAAUAAAGAGUAACGGAGUUGGUCCCCGGAAAAAGGUGGCAGGCCGGCGAUAGGUGGCCGGCAGCAGGAUUCCGACGGGGUUCCGGCGGCGGUGGCCGGCACGCGAGAUUGGUGUGGUGAUUGGCUAGAUAUUUUGUAAAUUUGAAAUAAAAUAUUGAAACAUGAAAAUAAUGGCAUAAUGGCAUAUGUUGUAAUUUUAAAGUUCUUUAAUUAUAUUUUGGUAAAAGCAGGUACUAUAUUUU